AAACGUUCUCAGGGCGGGGCGAAACUCCCCACCGGCGGUAAUGAUGCCUGCGCAUCUAGCCCGCGAGCGCCUGCAAGACGCCAACGUACACGCGUAGGCAUUCUGCAGGGUCAGCAGACCUGGUGUGAUCCCAGGGCCGACGGUCACAGUCCGGAUGAAAGAGGACGGGA
rnacentral:ncRNA from 2 species